rnacentral:rRNA from 1 species
UGGGGAAUUUUGGACAAUGGGCGAAAGCCUGAUCCAGCAAUGCCGCGUGUGUGAAGAAGGCCUUCGGGUUGUAAAGCACUUUUGUCCGGAAAGAAAUCCUUGGCUCUAAUACAGUCGGGGGAUGACGGUACCGGAAGAAUAAGCACCGGCUAACUACGUGCCAGCAGCCGCGGUAAUACGUAGGGUGCAAGCGUUAAUCGGAAUUACUGGGCGUAAAGCGUGCGCAGGCGGUUUGCUAAGACCGAUGUGAAAUCCCCGGGCUCAACCUGGGAACUGCAUUGGUGACUGGCAGGCUAGAGUAUGGCAGAGGGGGGUAGAAUUCCACGUGUAGCAGUGAAAUGCGUAGAGAUGUGGAGGAAUACCGAUGGCGAAGGCAGCCCCCUGGGCCAAUACUGACGCUCAUGCACGAAAGCGUGGGGAGCAAACAGGAUUCAGAUACCCUGGUAGUCCACGCCCUAAACGAUGUCAACUAGUUGUUGGGGAUUCAUUUCCUUAGUAACGUAGCUAACGCGUGAAGUUGACCGCCUGGGGAGUACGGUCGCAAGAUUC